AUAGCGUAUAUUAAAGUUGUUGCGGUUAAAAAGCUCGUAGUUGAAUCUGUGUCCCACGCUGCCGGUUCGCCGCUCGCGGUGUUUAACUGGCAUGAUUGUGGGACGUCCUACCGGUGGGCUUAGCCCCUCGGGGCGGCCCAACUAAUAUCCCAUCGCGGUGCUCUUCACUGAGUGUCGAGGUGGGCCGGUACGUUUACUUUGAACAAAUUAGAGUGCUUAAAGCAGGCUAUUUUCGCCUGAAUACUGUGUGCAUGGAAUAAUGGAAUAGGACCUCGGUUCUAUUUUGUUGGUUUUCGGAACCCCGAGGUAAUGAUUAAUAGGGACAGAUGGGGGCAUUCGUAUUGCGACGUUAGAGGUGAAAUUCUUGGAUCGUCGCAAGACGGACAGAAGCGAAAGCAUUUGCCAAAAAUGUUUUCUUUAAUCAAGAACGAAAGUUAGAGGUUCGAAGGCGAUCAGAUACCGCCCUAGUUCUAACCAUAAACGAUGCCAGCUAGCGAUCCGCCGAAGUUCCUCCGAUGACUCGGCGGGCAGCUUCCGGGAAACCAAAGCUUUUGGGUUCCGGGGGAAGUAUGGUUGCAAAGCUGAAACUUAAAGGAAUUGACGGAAGGGCACCACCAGGAGUGGAGCCUGCGGCUUAAUUUGACUCAACACGGGAAACCUCACCAGGCCCGGACACCGGAAGGAUUGACAGAUUGAGAGCUCUUUCUUGAUUCGGUGGGUGGUGGUGCAUGGCCGUUCUUAGUUGGUGGAGCGAUUUGUCUGGUUAAU
rnacentral:rRNA from 1 species